GAUAUACAACAUAAGUGGAUACUCAACCGAAUGGCGUAAUGCAAAUUGUACUAAGGCAGAGCCAAUACUUUCUUACAAUAACUUCGUCUUUGCAGUAAACGAAACCAUUGGCAAACUAGCGACUUCAGACGUUUGGAUAGGCUAUUUCAAAGCAAAAGUACCAUUUUACUUCCAUGGUUGCGCGGUGGUUCAAAAUGAGCAAACGUACCCAGUUACACGUAUCGGGUACUGCAAAAGUAUUUGUGUCAAUACAACACUAUUUGGAAUACAGACAACUCAAGGCCAUGAUAUAUUUAAUCCGGAGCAAAAGGCUACAUAAAUGACACGGGGAGUGAUGGAGAUUGCCUUGCUUACAACAAAGCGGCAUUCAGUUGGCAAGCCUGUACAAGGUCAGACUCUAUCAAGACAAUGUGUAGCACCAGCAUAGCAACAG